UACGUAGGGCGCAAGCGUUAUCCGGAAUUAUUGGGCGUAAAGAGCUCGUAGGCGGUUUGUCGCGUCUGCCGUGAAAGUCCGGGGCUCAACUCCGGAUCUGCGGUGGGUACGGGCAGGCUAGAGUGAUGUAGGGGAGACUGGAAUUCCUGGUGUAGCGGUGAAAUGCGCAGAUAUCAGGAGGAACACCGAUGGCGAAGGCAGGUCUCUGGGCAUUAACUGACGCUGAGGAGCGAAAGCAUGGGGAGCGAACAGG
rnacentral:rRNA from 1 species